rnacentral:miRNA from 1 species
UCUCCAACUAGUUUUCGGUACCU